AUUGAUAUUUUUAUGUUUUCAGAUUUUGUUAUAAAAAACAUUCCUUCUACAUACUCAACAUAUCAUGUGGGGCCCCAUGAGCUCCUGUGAAGAAGUAAACAAAAUAUUUAAAGCUUUUUACAAUUUUCAUCUCAAUCACUGGUGAUAUUCUGAAGUUGAGUCCUGUACAAGUAAACUCCCAGUAAAUGUUAAAAUUCUUUUCAUGCUCUAAAGACACAAUCACAGUUCAAAACCUGCUGUGAAAUUCUGAGGCCUUUGAACUAUUGUACAGAAACCCACAACUUCAAAAAGGGAACACAACAGACUCAACAACUAUCAGUUUAGAGAACAUCCUAACAGAAUUGUAAAUGGAUGCAGGCAGUUGAUAGUAAAAUUUGAGCUAUAAAACUCAAUCACACGUUGUGUACAGAGACCUCUGUUGAUCCACUGCAACACAUCAUCAGUGAAUUUUUCAAACAUCCUUUGGUGUUUUGGGUCUCUUAACAUCAGACACACUCUUGGUUGAAUCAGCUGGGAUUGAUCAGAUCCCAACUUGUGCCCCACCAUCACUGGCUCACUUUUUGAGCCAAAUUGACCUUGAUGCUUUCUUUGCAGCUUUUAUGUUAGCCUAUCUUGUACAGGGAAUGACCAACAAAGCCUAUUUAUCCAACUUUAGUGGGCUCACCAUUAACUUUCCAACUCAUCCUCUGGCACACCCCUGAGAUCCUGGUAUUUGUCAACUUACACACAUGGCCUCUUCAGUGCAGACCUGCCAAUGAAAUAUCAAUACUACUAAGAAGACCUGCUUUGAAGACAUGCAUGUCAGCACCACAUUCGGGCUUGAAGAGGCUAAUGUGACAAGAGCAGGCUGGCAAUCAAUGCCACGCUAAUGUCACACUGAUUUUUCACACUAAUUUAAUGUUGUUAGGUGUGGUGCUGUCCAAAGGCAACUUUCUUCUGGCUCCAAACAUUUUUUUUACCAUUGCAUUGAAAAUGGCUUCUGCCACAAAACUCAGAACCUCAUCAUGUGACCAGCAGUAGCAGUGCUCUCCUAUGCUUGUCAAGCAGCUACUAAGAAUGUUCUCCUGGGUUCCCCUUCUGUGACAGAGUGAACAUGUUAGUCUAUUGCUCUUACCCCAGCAAAUCAUGGCCAGCUUGGAUCAUGAACUUAAUACUCUGUGACUGUGUCUCCCGAAGUCAUUCCAGGUCAGCCAGCACCACACUUAAUUUCAAAUAUGUAUGAUGCAUUAAUCCAGUAACUAUAUAUUUGAGCUUUAUUACACUUUGAACUCUAUAACCACUAGUAAUAUUCUGAAGUCCACUACUGUAAAUGUGAACUGCCAGUUACUCCAAAAAUAGAUGCAGAAUGUGUUAUACAUAAAUGCAUAAAUCAGUGUUAAUGAAUGUAAUUUCUUUUUCAGCUUUAAUGACACAAGCACAGUUCAACACCUACUGUGAAAUUGAGGCAUUUUGAACUGCUGUGCUGUAUAGAAACCCACAACUUAAAGGUGACCUUAAAACAUCCUUAAAUGCAUUUUGAUUGUAAGAUGUUUUUGUUAUUGUUACUGAUUUCAUUAUUUGUUUUUCCCCUUCUAGUGAAUACAACAGACUCUAUCAAUUAAGAGAAUGUCCUAACAGAACUGU